GUACGGGAGGCAGCAGUGGGGAAUAUUGGGCAAUGGGCGCAAGCCUGACCCAGCAACGCCGCGUGAGGGAAGAAGGUCUUCGGAUUGUAAACCUCUGUCCUUGGGGACGAAAAAAAUGACGGUACCCAAGGAGGAAGCUCCGGCUAACUACGUGCCAGCAGCCGCGGUAAUACGUAGGGAGCGAGCGUUGUCCGGAAUUACUGGGCGUAAAGGGUGCGUAGGCGGCGAUGCAAGUCAGAUGUGAAAUCCCCGGGCUUAACUCGGGUUCUGCAUUUGAAACUGCAUUGCUUGAGUGCAGGAGAGGAAAGCGGAAUUCCUAGUGUAGCGGUGAAAUGCGUAGAUAUUAGGAAGAACACCAGUGGCGAAGGCGGCUUUCUGGACUGUAACUGACGCUGAGGCACGAAAGCGUGGGGAGCAAACAGGAUUAGAUACCCCGGU
rnacentral:rRNA from 1 species